GGGGUUGUGGCUCAGAGGUAGAGCACUUGCCUACCAUGUGUGAGGCCCUGAGUUCAAUCCUCAGCUCUA
rnacentral:tRNA from 1 species